rnacentral:rRNA from 1 species
AGUGAACGCUGGCGGUAGGCCUAACACAUGCAAGUCGAACGGCAGCACAGUAAGAGCUUGCUCUUACGGGUGGCGAGUGGCGGACGGGUGAGGAAUACAUCGGAAUCUACUUUUUCGUGGGGGAUAACGUAGGGAAACUUACGCUAAUACCGCAUACGACCUACGGGUGAAAGCAGGGGAUCUUCGGACCUUGCGCGAUUGAAUGAGCCGAUGUCGGAUUAGCUAGUUGGCGGGGUAAAGGCCCACCAAGGCGACGAUCCGUAGCUGGUCUGAGAGGAUGAUCAGCCACACUGGAACUGAGACACGGUCCAGACUCCUACGGGAGGCAGCAGUGGGGAAUAUUGGACAAAGGGCGCAAGCCUGAUCCAGCCAUACCGCGUGGGUGAAGAAGGCCUUCGGGUUGUAAAGCCCUUUUGUUGGGAAAGAAAAGCAGCAGGUUAAUACCCCGCUGUUCGGACGGUACCCAAAGAAUAAGCACCGGCUAACUUCGUG